rnacentral:ncRNA from 2 species
AUGAUGUACUAGGGGAGUCUUUUGACUGAGAUAUUCUACGGAAUGGACCCUUUGAACCUGUGAGUUGAGACUCGCGUAGGGAAGUCGUCUGAUGAGAAA